UACGUAGGGUGCGAGCGUUAAUCGGAAUUACUGGGCGUAAAGCGUGCGCAGGCGGUUCGUGAUGUCUGAUGUGAAAUCCCCGGGCUCAACCUGGGAAUUGCGAUGGAGACUGCAAGGCUAGAAUCUGGCAGAGGGGGGUAGAAUUCCACGUGUAGCAGUGAAAUGCGUAGAGAUGUGGAGGAACACCGAUGGCGAAGGCAGCCCCCUGGGUCAAGAUUGACGCUCAUGCACGAAAGCGUGGGGAGCAAACAGG
rnacentral:rRNA from 1 species